UACGUAGGGGGCAAGCGUUUGUCCGGAUUUAUUGGGCGUAAAGCGCGUGUAGGCGGCCAGGUAGGUCCGCUGUGAAAACUCGAGGCUCAACCUCGAGACGUCGGCGGAAACCAUCUGGCUAGAGUCCGGAAGAGGAGAGUGGAAUUCCUGGUGUAGCGGUGGAAUGCGCAGAUAUCAGGAGGAACACCAAUAGCGAAGGCAGCUCGCUGGGACGUUACUGACACUGAGGCGCGAAAGCGUGGGGAGCGAACAGG
rnacentral:rRNA from 1 species